CCAAAAUGGUAUAAUUGCCACAGUUACAGGGGGUGUGGCAGAACCUACACCACAUUCUUGCCACCUCUUUCAAUGCCAUGAUGAAAACUGGUCUGUACAUUGAAAGAGGACAUUCUGCAGAAGAAAACAUGUAUACUCCCUCCCCUCAUGCCCCCCCAGCAAGCAACCAGAGACUGAGUGAAAAAUGUAACCCUUCCUGCCUUAAAUCUUGCAGGAAGCUUUGUCUUAUGCCAAACUGUGCUGCUGUCAGUUAUUUGACACUGUUCUUGUGUGAAUUUCAGUCCAUGCCUGGAACCUGAAUCCCACUUCCAGAUGCAGUCUGUCAGCCAAGGGCACUCCAGAUGUGGCAGUAGGAAGAAGAUGCCGAAAGGAAAGAAGGCCAAGGGGAAGAAGGUGGCUCUGGCCCCUGCUGUUGUGAAGAAGCAGGAGGCCAAGAAAGUGGCGAAUCCCUUGUUUCAGAAAAGGCCAAAGAAUUUUGGCAUUGGACAGGACAUCCAACCGAAAAGAGACCACCUGAUUUGUGAAAGGGCCCCGCUGUAUCAGCUUGCAGCGGCAGAGAGCCAUCCUUUAUAAGCGGCUGAAAGUGCCUCCUGCCAUUAACCAGUUCACCCAGGCCUUGGACCGCCAAACAGCUAUUGAGCUGCUAAAGCUGGCCCAGAAGUAUAGGCCAGGAACACAGCAAGAGAAGAAACAGGCUGUUGGCCCGGGCCAAGAAGAAAGCUGCUGGCGAAGGGUCCCCACUAAAAGACCACCUGUCCUUCGAGCAGGAGUUAACACCAUCACUGCCUUGGUGGAGGAGAAAGCUGAGCUGGUGGUGAUUGCAGAUGACAUGGAUCCCACUGAACUGGUUGUCUUCU
rnacentral:lncRNA from 13 species